ACACCCUCAACCUUCUUGGUUUAUUGACCGGGAAGGCUUGGACUUUGGAGGUUUUUGUUGCUGGCCUCGUUUGAAGCCAGCUCCUCCUAAAUGAAUUAGUGGGGUCAGCUAUGCAGACCCUUGACGUGAUAAGUACGCUUCUACGUCUUGGGGUUUCGCACCGGUUCCCGCUUCCAACUUCGAGUCGUGACUCGACCUUAUAAA
rnacentral:misc_RNA from 1 species